UACGUAGGGGGCAAGCGUUGUCCGGAAUCAUUGGGCGUAAAGAGCGUGUAGGCGGUUCGGUAAGUCGGCUGUGAAAGUCCAGGGCUCAACCCUGGGAUGCCGGUCGAUACUGCCGGACUAGAGUUCGGAAGAGGCGAGUGGAAUUCCCGGUGUAGCGGUGAAAUGCGCAGAUAUCGGGAGGAACACCUAUGGCGAAGGCAGCUCGCUGGGACGUUACUGACGCCGAGACGCGAAAGCGUGGGGAGCAAACAGG
rnacentral:rRNA from 1 species